ACAUUGAUUAAACAUCUCAGGACGGAGCACAAGGAGGUUAACUGACUUGCUCAGGGUCACACACAGCGAGUCAGCCAGCCACAGAUGGACCUUGGGAACCAGGGACCUUCUGGUUACAAGCCCUGGACCACACCAUGGACCACACUGCCUCCUUGAGGGCCUAACCAGUAACUUCAAUGAAUUUUGAUACCAGUGCCACUGGAAGUAACCCAUCUCUUGAACUAGUAUUGUCUUAAAUACUUGCAAUAUGUUUUGCAAGUGCAGAUGUGACUAAGCAGUUUAUCUUCUAAUGUCUUUUAAUCUGUUAGAGCUGUAUAAAGGCUGUGUAUGGAUUUAUGCUGAGCUCAGAUCUGCCCUUCUUAAUUGUUUUGUUGUACUUUUAAUACAGGAAAGAGGCCCUUUCUUGUAAGCUCCUACGUUCUUGAAUGCUCUGUGAGGGAAGCUGAGAUUUACAAUCAAAACUGUAUUUUCUUUUUGUCCUUUGUUCCAAAUUGGAGUUUUAUUAAAUUCUGUAGUUUUAAUUGAACGGUUUAAUUGUUCUUUUUUAUUUUGCGUGAAGCGCUUUAGGAACUCAGGGCUUAGAGGACUACUAACAUUCGAUGGCUGAAAGAACUGUAUUUAGCUUGGAUUAAAGAAUUAGAGUUGGGGAAACGACCUAAGUCAUGCAAUGGUUAUAACAAAGCAAUCGUUUAAGUGCAGUACAGAAAACAGGACCAGAGGACACAGCUGGAAAAGAAGUGGUCUGAAGACAGAGGGAAGGAGACACUUCUUUGCACGAGGAAUUUGGAGUUGCUGUGUACCCUUCCUAAAGCUGCUGCCUUGCCCAGGGUUCAGAUAGACCUCUCUUUAGAGAAUGUGAGGGAAACUUUCUCAGAGCUUGAAGGAAAUCUUGAGCUAUUGUGGAAGGCACAGACAGCGAGGAGAUCCAAGACAGCGGGAAAAACUAAAGGUGAUUUUAAUUCAGAAGUUGAAGCAUGGGAAAUCUGAACAGCAGUUCGAGAUCAAUUUCUUCUGACAUGUGUCUCUUACCCUACCAAUCUAGAAGCCUGCCAUCAGUGAAGCUAAAAUGUAUCCCAUGACUAUAUGGAACUGUGGGCAACAACCUCUCUCAGGAAGCCCAUGGUCCGAGUGCCCUAUGGAUUUGGGAAUACACAAACACUCCAUUACAGAGUAUAUAAGAGAAUGUCACCACCUACCAUACUAAAUAAAACCAGAUGUAUUAUAUCUGUUUAUUUUGUGAGGGCGUGAAUUCCUGUUCAGUCAAUGGUUUUGCCUCUC